CCUACGGGGUGCAGCAGUGAGGAAUAUUGGUCAAUGGGCGCGAGCCUGAACCAGCCAAGUAGCGUGAAGGAUGACUGCCCUACGGGUUGUAAACUUCUUUUAUAAAGGAAUAAAGUGAGGCAAGUGUGCCUUUUUGGAUGUACUUUAUGAAUAAGGAUCGGCUAACUCCGUGCCAGCAGCCGCAGUAAUACGGAGGAUCCGAGCGUUAUCCGGAUUUAUUGGGUUUAAAGGGAGCGGAGACGGUUUGUUAAGUCAGUUGUGAAAGUGUGCGGCUCAACAGUAGAAUUGCAAUUGAUACUGGCAGCCUAGAGUACAGUUGAGGUAGGCGGAAUUCAUGGUGUAGCGGUGAAAUGCUUAGAUAUCACGAAGAACACCGAUUGCGAAGGCAGCUUACUAAACUGCCACUGACAUUGAGGCUCGAAAGUGUGGGUAGCAAACAGGAUUAGAUACCAUGGUAGUC
rnacentral:rRNA from 1 species